rfam:Jeotgalibacillus soli Cunha et al. 2012 strain P9 contig00009, whole genome shotgun sequence.
GGUACCUUUAAUUCAGUCCCGUGAGGCUGACAAGGACAGCGGAAAUUAUGAAGAGCAUGGGGUGACGUGUAUGCGUAUUGCCAUCGUUCUUCAUAGUGUAAAGAGGCUUCUUGUCAGAAAUGACAAGAAGCCUCUUUUGU